GUAACGGCGAGUGAAGCGGCAACAGCUCAAAUUUGAAAUCUGGCUCCUUCGGGGCCCGAGUUGUAAUUUGCAGAGGAUGCGUCGGGUACGGGUUCCUUCCGAGUUCCCUGGAACGGGACGCCAUAGAGGGUGAGAGCCCCGUCUGGUAGGAAACCCAGCCCGUGUGACGCUCCCUCGACGAGUCGAGUAGUUUGGGAAUGCUGCUCUAACGGGAGGUAUACUCCUUCCAAGGCUAAAUACCGGCUGGAGACCGAUAGCGCACAAGUAGAGUGAUCGAAAGAUGAAAAGCACUUUGAAAAGAGAGUCAAACAGCACGUGAAAUUGUUAAAAGGGAAGCGCUCGCUACCAGACUUGGGUUCAGCGGUUCAACCGGGGCCACGCCCCGGGGCAUUCCGCCGGCCCAGGCCAGCAUCAGCUUUCCGUCGGGGGCAAAGGCGUCGGGAAUGUGGCUCCCCUUCGGGGGAGUGUUAUAGCCCGGCGCGUCAUACCCUUCGGGGGGCUGAGGUACGCGCUUCUGCAAGGAUGCUGGCGUAAUGGUAGCUAGUGACCCGUCUUGAAACACGGACCAAGGAGUCAACCUUAUGUGCGAGUGCCCGGGCGUAAAACCCCAGCGCGGAAUGAAAGUGAACGUAGGUGAGAGCUUCGGCGCAUCACCGACCGAUCCUGAUGUCCUCGGACGGAUUUGAGUGAGAGCAUAUAGGGUUGGACCCGAAAGAAGAUGAAC
rnacentral:misc_RNA from 1 species